rnacentral:rRNA from 1 species
GGAUUAGAUACCCGGGUAGUCCACGCCGUAAACGAUGCAUACUCGCUGUCGGCCUCGCUACAGAGGUCGGUGGCUUAGCUAACGCGGUAAGUAUGCCGCCUGGGGAUUACGGCCGCAAGGUUAAAACUCAAAGGAAUUGACGGGGACCCGCACAAGUGGUGGAGUAUGUCCAUUAAUUCGAAGAUACGCGAAGAACCUUACCUAGCCUUGACAUACCGGUAGAGCUUCCUUGAAAGGGGAGGUGCAUUUAGUUGGACCGGAUACAGGUGUUGCAUGGCUGUCGUCAGCUCGUGUCGUGAGAUGUUGGGUUAAGUCCCGCAACGAGCGCAACCCUCGCCUUUAAUUGCCAGCAUUCAGUUGGGCACUUUAGAGGAACCGCCGCGGAUAACGCGGA